UUUUAAUUACGAUGGAUCGCCUUCUCCACGAGCGUUGCAAGGGCCAGUAGGAGGAGGAUGUGCAAGCGGCCGGAGUAGCGGUGGUGACUACUCGAGGAUGCGAUGGCGCCGUCGUCGACCUCGUAUCCUCCGUUGAGUUCUGCAUCGACCGAACGUGUCCCUCAGUUGCAGCAGCUGAGGGUGGGAAGUGUAAGGGCUCUGGGUUUUUCGAUUUGACUCACAAGAUUCAGCAAAUUAUGUGAUUGAAAAACGGCAUGGCUCCUUCUCCAAGUAAAAAUUGUAAGAAGCAAUAAUAAGCCAAACAGACUUUCAUUUGAUUGACGAAAAAGGUAAAUAGCAUGUAAAUUCUGGUUGAGUUGGUCCUUUCUUACUGAUUAUUUCUUGUAAUCGGAAUUUACUAAUUUGAUGUCACUAAAUAUCUAUACUCUUAUUUACAAAGUUUAUCAAAAUGGAUGUACCAUCAUCAAUUUGCUAUAUAGGAGUGUUAUUCUUUUGGAAGACAAUAGGUGAAUGGUAUUGUGGCUUUAUAUGAUAAAUUAAUGCACUUUGGUUACAUCAGAGCAAGAAUACCUUAGGUAUUGUACCAUACUUGCUUAACAUUUAAAAUUUUUGCCAUUGACGAUCAGCAGUGUCAGUCUUCUUCCCUGUUAAUUGUUUGUGGGUUUUCUUCUGAUUAUACACAAGUUGAUACGUUCGAUAGGGCCACUGAUAUCUCAUGCUGUGAGUGGUACUAAAUGAAGUUUAUUAUGAUUUGGUUAAGAGUAGCAGUUCUUGGAAACUUCAUUCAACCUUUCUUUUAUGAUCAAAUAUGAUCAUGUAUUAUAUUUAUCACCUUAUGUGGCUCAUGAGUUUGAAAUAAUUAAUUUGCCAAGACCAAUGACACCUGUAUCACAUGCUAAAUCUAAAUGCUUCAGAUUUUGAAAUUUUCUUUACUGUGUGCAAUCUUUUAAACAAAAUAAUGGCGAGUUACAGGAAGUUGGUCUAUGUUAGAAUUGUAAAUGACAUGCUCUGUUUGUUGCUUUAUACUAGCAUUUUUUGGUGCUUAAAGAGGCAUAUAUUUGCUUGCUGGUCUCUUCACUGCUGUUCCCAGUCACUAUUUGAUGUCUUUGGCGCAUGCUGCGCAACACCCACUUUCUAUUUCUUCAGGAUUCUAGCUUGUGUCUAGUUCAUUUCCAACAGUAGAUUUUCUCACAUGGUAUAUUUUCUUUCUUAUUUGUUAUACAUACUUCCUUACCUAUGUGUUAACACAUUUCCUUUUUGUUGUCUUUGUCAAGCCUAUAAAAUCCUUUGGUAUAAAGAAUUAUAUUGGAAGUAACAGAAUCUUGAUUUCUUCUGUAUCAUACUUGUGCCCGUGCCCCAGGGGGUCUAUAUCAUGGUAUUGUUACUGCUUGCAGCAUACCGAUGGUGAUGCGAUACCCCCAGAUGAAAGUCUUCUUGCAAAGGUUAAGAAUCGAAGGGAGGCACUGUGAGUUUGCUGUUUGAUGACAUAAAUUCCUCAAAUUCUUGUAGAUUUGUGUCUGUUGGAAGCCGAGUCCUUGAAUUUGUGGAGCAUAUAAGACCAUUCAUGAGCUGGCAAAUUAGACCUGUGCAUUUUGUCUCCCAAAAAAAAAAAAAAAAGAUUAAUCCAGACCAUAUUUUUGUAAAAUCUGUUUUGCGAAAGAAGAAAAAAAUCACUUAGUCAGAAAUAUAUUUUGCAAAAGGAAAAGGGGAAAUGGAGGAAGCCUACCUACAUUGGAAGAUUGAACCUCUUUAUUCAUGCCCUGACAAGAAUGCUUGCAAAGGAAAGACAAACUACUACUUCUCUCCUAUGUGUGCAUCAUCAAUAGCGCUUCAGCGUUCUGUUACUUUUUUUUAUUUUUUGCUUGUUUUCCUUCUCUCUUUUCUGCGUCCUCGAUGGAUUGCUCGAGAAAGAGAAGACAUGGAUGCAUGACAACUCUGGGAAAUCGCUCUGACUUUUGUGUGUUUUCCCCUCUUAUUCUUCUCUCUUUUCUUGACAGGGAACCACGCUGCCUUGGACCCCGGCACCGACAGCGACGGGAAGGCCGGAGGCAGACGGGGACGGUGUGGUCGCCAUCAUCAACCCGUGGUGUGGGAAGCGAGGCGGAGGAGGAGGAGGAGCUGCCUGCCUGCCUUCUCUCUCUCUCACAGCCCCACCCAGGACAACAAGCAUGGGACGCCGAGCCCGGGCAGCUCCCAAUCAUAAAGCAAUGGAGUGCCAUAUCAUUUCCUCCCCACCUCGGUCCUCGCGCUCCUGCUCUGGACCCCCCCCACUCCCCCGAGGGAUGGGCUGACCUGAGCCUACUGUUCCCUCUCGCGCUCCUCAUGCGUCCCUUUCCAUGCUGUUUCUUUUCUUUCCCCCCCAACCCCCCUCCUCUCGUAAUCUCCUUAAUUUUGGAUUUCUCUUUGGUUUUGCUGCAUUGGCAUAUGAAAUCCUUCACGUCCAUGUUUGUUUGAUGCUGUCCACUUGAAAGCCCUUCAGAUGUAGUGUUCCGGCUUCCACGUCUUCAGCUUGAGAGCCAAUCCAUUUCUUCUUCGCCUUGUAACAUUCUGUAGGUGAACCACUAGUGCCACCCGCCCCAUACUCCCGACUGACAGAAAAUAAUAAUAAUAAUAAUAAUAAUAAUAAUAAUAAAUAAUAUGUUGUGGGAUUUUGUUUCCAGGACAAAUCACAAUCGAGGUUUCAAUUCUUCCAUGCAAUGAAUAGGAGGAGUGUGAAUCACCGCAGAGGUGCAGGAACCAAAGGCUUGCGUUCCCAAAACGCAGCUGCACCGGAGAGGGAAACCUCGUGGUCAACGAGCCUUCUCUGACCUCUGUUACACCAUUUUGACGAGGACAUCACCUACACUAUGGAUAGGCCACCAUGCCCCGUGUUGACCAAGGAGCCUCCCAACAUUGACUCGGGCCCACCACACAGAAUAAGAGAGAGAGAGAGAGAGAGAGCACAGUGGUCUAUGGAGGGGAGUCAUGGGAAAGAGCUACAGCACGGCAAAAGGACUGGUGAAUGCAAAGGGAUAAAAGAGGGGUCACCUCAAUGGGCCCCCCCCCCCCCCUCGGGCCGACAGGCUCUGGUGCAUCCCUCCAUAGCGUCAACACCAAGGACGGGCGGACGGACUGGACUGGACUGGACUGACCACACGCUGCUGUCGCUCUCACCCUCUCUUCCUCGUCUUUGCCGCCAGCGAAGAAAGAGGGGGAGAAGCAUGAGAAGCCGAGAGUAAAAAAAAAAAAAAGGCAGGAGGUUUGGAACCUUACGAUCGAACGCAGAUAUCAUCAUGUGACAAUCAUUCUUUUAUAAUUUGAGCUCUACAGGUCUGGGAGGGAAGUAAAAGAAAAGGUUUUGCUUUUCUUUUGAGGCCACCAGCAGGAGUGUCAGUAAAAGAAAAGAAGAGAGAGAGAGAGAGAGAGAGAGAGAGAAAUAAUCUCAAGUCUUAAAAGCUAUACAAAUGCUGAUGUACGAUGACCUCUGAAAAGAGGUCUUUUAUCAUCCACCUGCUCUCCUCCUAAAGGAACAAAAGGUAAAAAAGGAAGCUUUAUUUGCUUCUCAUUCAAGGAACUUUGGUAUGCAAAAGCUUUUAUCUUUUACUUUCUGAAUUAACCAGGUGGCUCAGGCUACUACUGUAAGAUGUCAUGUAUCCACCAUAUAUGUGUAGAGGUGAGACCACUGGGACGCAAUUUGAUUACAGAAAGAGCUGCAUAUAUCAUUAGUUUAUUGCUUCUAACAUCAUCACCCGAGUCGAUGAUGGGUGGAUCAUGUACAAGUACAGAGUUGCCUGUUGGACCAUGUAAGCUGGCCUCAACAAAACAAAUCGUGCAUGCAUGCAUGCAG